UAGGGAAUCUUCCGCAAUGGACGAAAGUCUGACGGAGCAACGCCGCGUGAGUGAAGAAGGAUUUCGGUUCGUAAAACUCUGUUGUUAGGGAAGAAAAAAUGUAUAGUAACUAUAUACAAAAGAGACGGUACCUAACCAGAAAGCCACGGCUAACUACGUGCCAGCAGCCGCGGUAAUACGUAGGUGGCAAGCGUUGUCCGGAAUUAUUGGGCGUAAAGCGCGCGCAGGUGGUUUAGAAAGUCUGAUGUGAAAGCCCACGGCUCAACCGUGGAAGGUCAUUGGAAACUAAUAAACUUGAGUGCAGGAGAGAAAAGUGGAAUUCCUAGUGUAGCGGUGAAAUGCGUAGAGAUUAGGAGGAACACCGGUGGCGAAAGCGGCUUUUUGGCCUGCGACUGACACUGAGGCGCGAAAGCGUGGGGAGCAAACAGG
rnacentral:rRNA from 1 species